rnacentral:rRNA from 1 species
GCCGGCAGCUAGCUCUCUGCAACUCUCACAUGGUCGCCCACUGAAGCUAAGCAGGGCUGUGCCCGGUCAGUACCUGGAUGGGAGACCACGUAAGAAAGCUAAGUGGCUGCCGGAA